rnacentral:rRNA from 1 species
GAUGAACGCUGGCGGCGUGCUUAACACAUGCAAGUCGAACGAAGCACUUUAUUUGAUUUCCUUCGGUACUGAUUAUUUUGUGACUGAGUGGCGGACGGGUGAGUAACGCGUGGGUAACCUGCCUUGUACAGGGGGAUAACAGUUGGAAACGGCUGCUAAUACCGCAUAAGCGCACAGCAUCGCAUGAUGCAGUGUGAAAAACUCCGGUGGUAUAAGAUGGACCCGCGUUGGAUUAGCUAGUUGGUGAGGUAACGGCCCACCAAGGCGACGAUCCAUAGCCGACCUGAGAGGGUGACCGGCCACAUUGGGACUGAGACACGGCCCAAACUCCUACGGGAGGCAGCAGUGGGGAAUAUUGCACAAUGGGCGAAAGCCUGAUGCAGCGACGCCGCGUGAGCGAAGAAGUAUUUCGGUAUGUAAAGCUCUAUCAGCAGGGAAGAUAAUGACGGUACCUGACUAAGAAGCACCGGCUAAAUACGUG